AAGGGCAAUGAAUCUUCUUACCUGUGUUUCUGCAGAAAUUUAGAAAACGCAGGCAGUAACAAUACCACGUUAUGAGCCUUAAAGACUUUGAAGUCAUUAAGGUCCCUGAAAAUGACUACAUGA
ensembl:snoRNA